rnacentral:rRNA from 1 species
GCCAGACUCCUACGGGAGGCAGCAGUGGGGAAUAUUGCACAAUGGGGGAAACCCUGAUGCAGCGACGCCGCGUGAGUGAAGAAGUAAUUCGUUACGUAAAGCUCUAUCAGCAGGGAAGAAACACUGACCUUACGGUCAGCAGACGGUACCUGAGUAAGAAGCCCCGGCUAACUACGUGCCAGCAGCCGCGGUAAUACGGAGGAUGCGAGCGUUAUCCGGAUUUAUUGGGUUUAAAGGGUGCGUAGGCGGACAGUCAAGUCAGCGGUAAAAAUGCGGUGCUCAACGCCGUACAGCCGUUGAAACUGGUAGUCUUGAGUGGGCGAGAAGUAUGCGGAAUGCGUGGUGUAGCGGUGAAAUGCAUAGAUAUCACGCAGAACUCCGAUUGCGAAGGCAGCAUACCGGCGCCCGACUGACGCUCAGGCACGAAAGCGUGGGUAUCGAACAGGAUUAGAUACCCUUGUACUU